UACGAAGGUCCCGAGCGUUGUUCGGAAUCACUGGGCGUAAAGGGAGCGUAGGCGGCGCGGUAAGUCAGAUGUGAAAUCCCGGGGCUCAACCCCGGAACUGCAUCCGGUACUGCCGUGCUAGAGGAUUGGAGAGGUAGCUGGAAUUCUUGGUGUAGCAGUGAAAUGCGUGGAUAUCAAGAGGAACACCGGUGGCGAAGGCGGGUCUCUGGGCCGAUACUGACGCUGAGGAGCGAAAGCGUGGGGAGCGAACAGG
rnacentral:rRNA from 1 species